rnacentral:rRNA from 1 species
GACGUAGGGCGCGAGCGUUGUCCGGAUUUAUUGGGCGUAAAGAGCUCGUAGGCGGCUUGUCGCGUCGUCCGUGAAAACCUGCAGCUCAACUGCAGGCUUGCGGUCGAUACGGGCAGGCUGGAGUUCGGUAGGGGAGACUGGAAUUCCUGGUGUAGCGGUGAAAUGCGCAGAUAUCAGGAGGAACACCGGUGGCGAAGGCGGAUCUCUGGGCCUGUUCUGACGCUGAGGCGCGAAAGCUAGGGGAGCGAACAGG